CAAAAAUGUUAAAACAUAGAAAAUCUAACUUUGAUAUCUACUGAAAAGAACAUUCCUGCUGAUUUUCUCAUGCUGUACUUUAUAUUAAAAAAAUAAUUCUUAGCAAGCUCAAACUUGAAAAAGCUUAGAAGUUCUAAGGACCAAAAUCAUACUUGCCUCAGGAAAAAUCAAUUAUUUCAUCCAGUAGCAUUCAGAUGUCCAUUUUACCUCCACAAAGCCCAAGGCAACUGUUUCUGUUCAUCUUGUUCUAGACUUUGACCCUGAUGUCUCAGUUCCUAACACUGUCUGCUUCAAUGUGUCAAGCUUUAUUAUGAAGACCUAAAUUAGAACCAGAUUUUCAGGGGCAAGUGUUUCUAAGUACCAUAGCAUCUUCCAUGAUGUAAUUUGCUUAAAGAGAUGGAAAACUUAAAGAAGGAAGAAAGCAGGGCAAAAUGUCAUCAGUAUGAAUGACAAAGAACUGGAAGCAAUAUCUGACUCUAGAAAUUCACCAGCAAGUCUUCCAUUAAGUUUUAUUUUACUUCCUUGUGUUUUCAAAGAUUAUGUUGCUUAUGUUUACAUUUACUAAAGUUGAGUACCUGUAUAACAAGUCUUUGGUCACUUGUGGACAGGUUAAAUGUCACUCUUCACUGAGAACACUGCAUUGUUCAAUCCUUUGAUUUUAGAACAAUAAAUCAUUUAUAUGUGUUAAUUAAGUUGGAAUGGGGCAAUAGUCAGGCUUAUGAUGUUAAUGCUUACUAUCACUGGAACUGCUGUGAAUUAAGAAGUCACAGAAUUUAUUGAUGGUAAGUUUCAAGUAAAAUCUUAUAAUGAUUGCAUGGGAUAUACUGCUUGAGAGUAUCUGAAGUUUUUAUGGAGUUUUUAGGUUUCUAUAUACUAUUUCACUUGAACUCAAGAGUGAGCGAGCUGGCAUUACUUUUUCUAUUUUAAAUAACAGUUUGCGUUUAAGGAUUUUUUUAACAUGUUUCAGGCAAAAAUAUUAAUUAAUUGAUUAAUAGUUAUUUAGUCCUUGUCACAAAUCCUAUUGUUCCCAUUUGAAAACGAAGAAAGUGAGGAUCCAGAAAAAAAAAAUGGGUUUCUUAAGGUUGGGCAGCAAGUGGGCUACCUAGGAUUUUAAGCCAAACUGGAGUGAGCCAAUGCCUGAUCUUUUUUAUUCUCAUGUAUCACCAAUAUAAGGCAAAAAGUUGCAAUUGGCAGAACAAUACACUUAAAAGGUGCUAUGAAAUAGAAGGUAUCCCUUCCAUAGUCCAUUGUAAAGAGCUCAGUGUGCCAUGCAGUAAACAGCAAAGCCGGUUGCUACACACAUCCUCUCUGCCUUCCUGUUCCUAAAAAGAUCAUGGGCAGUCCUCAUGGCAAGGGAGUCUUUCUCAUCAUAGAAAAUACAGAUCAUUGGAAGUCCAUAUUGCAAGAUACAAACAUCAUAGGUGAUUAAAAUAACAAGGGAGAUGUUGGCAGAUUCGGAUACCGAACUUUAGUGUGCUGGGGUCACAAAUACCCAAGAGUUGCAAGCUUGAAAGCAGUGAGUCAACUCUGUUCCCAGGGGAGCAUCUGAAAAUACGGUGACCCUAUCUACAUUUAAGAGACUUGUUUAGAUAAUUUUUAUUACAAAAGACUUUUUGUGAAAGGUAUUGGCAAAAUUAAUACAGGUAUCUAUCUUGUAAUACUGAUCAACUUUAAAAAUGAUAUUUUAACAUCAUCCAUAUGCAUAAUUGUCAGAAAUCUAUAAGAAAAUACUAAUAACAUUCUGAGGAUUAAAAGAUGGGUCUCAGUUUCAAAAUGGAUAGCACAUAGAUUUUCUUUUUCCUUUUCUUCAGUGCUCCCUACUCCCUACAAUCCAAGAUUCAUAAAUUUAGAGCAAUCUCAACAUACAUGUCUUGAUUCAUGGACUGAGCCCAUUAUUUUCAUCAGAUCAAAGAUGGCCAUGAAUUCCCUGAGAUGGAGAAGAACUAUUCUACUGAAGAGAUCAUAUGGAAAGACUUGGAGAUGACAUGGAAAGAGAGAGGAUCCCACAUAAGCCCAGCCUUCCAGCCACUCUCAUGAAGGUGUCAGGCUCAUGAGCAAAGAUCAGCCAACUGUCAGCUGAAUUCAACCAGCCGACUUCAGUGGAAAGUCAACUGAAAAACUGCCAAGCUAUGCCCUGCCUGAAUUCCCAACCCAUAAAAUUGUGAGUCAUAGUAAAAUGGCUAUUGCUGAAGCCACUACAUUUUGGCUUCGGCAACAGUCAUUUUACUAUGCAAAAGAUAGUGCCUAUCUUUAAUGCAAAAAAUGACUAGAGUCUGCCUAUAUAAUAAGGUAGCAUGAUUCAUUUAAUCUCUCACAUGGAAAUUAUAUAAAGCUAAAUGAACAAAUAUUGAUAAGAAUGAUAGAAACUAAAAUAAUACAAAAUGCACAGUCCUCCUUUGACUAAAAUUUAGCAGGGCAGCAAAAUUCUAGCAAUGAUUCAGUAGCAUCUGCAGCAAAAUUCUACUUACUGAUUUUAUCAUGCAACCCUGAAAAAAAGGAAUGAAGACAAACUUGAGGCCACCUCCCCAAAUUUAGGCUGGUACAAUCACAACAGACCACUCAGUGACUGAUUCUGAUGUUCUGAGAAUUAAAUGCUCAGGUUUGUUCUCUCAAUAGAUUUUAAAAAUGGCUGGAGCUGCCUAAUAUCAGUUAUUAGUAUCAAGAAUCAAACUUCUAAGCUAAAUAGAAUACUUUUCAUUUCAGGAAUGAUAACAAAGCUUUUCCAGGAUUUCUUCCCCCUCACUGCCCUCCCCCAUUGCAACCCAGGCACACAGUGAACAGAAAUAGAACGUGUCUAGAGAAGCAUAAGCCUUCAACUACUUGAUUGCUGACCAAACUUGAGUUGCAAUUCUGAAGAUCAAAGCAAGUUAAAAUGCAUGUGUAAAUUUGUGCAGGCCUGUGGAGCUUCAGUUCAUGACUUCAUGUCCUCAUUAGUUGGCUGCCAACAUCACUUAGGCUUGUUGAAAUACUGCUUGGGUGAUAUUGUCAAUGGAUUGUUUUUGUGAUAGAGUGUUCUGUACUGAACUGGCAUUUCAAGCCACUCAGGUCAAGAAACCACAUUAGUACCUAUUUCAAGAGUUUAGACUUACCUUGACAGGAUAAUAGGUGUAUUUCCAGUAACAUAGUGACAACUCAUCUUGCCUGAAUAUUUGCCCCUUAAACACUUCACAGUGGAAGUUCAGUCAUCAAUCAAGUUGUAAUGAGUCCCACCAUCCAGCAGUUAAUGCAAGAUUUAAACUUCACAUAAAGGGGGUUAAAGAUUCAUUUUUCAUGUGUAUAUUACCACCAAAAAGAAACAAAUAACAUUUGUAACCAGAACUUCUAAUAUUACUGCUGGAUGAAAGGCCUGUGCCUCCAAUUUUGCCUCCUUUUCUAAACUCAGAUGGUUCAUGAUUCUCCCCUUUCUCUAAAUGACAAGGCAAAAUGCUAAUAGAUGAACAUCUAAUGACAGUAUUUCCCAUACUCUCCACUGGAAUGUACAUUAACAACUUAAUUACUAAAGUUUUGUCUUUGAAAUCAUUUCGUGAAAAAAAUGCUUAUUAUUAAUAAUCCCUUGCUAGCAAAUAUAAGGCCGAUGUUAUAAACACAAAUGGUGAAAGUCAAGUAUGUCAAUUCCUACUGAGAGUUAAAACUGGGGUUAAUUAAGAGAAUAUUAAAUGAAAUGCUCUUAAUUUGCCAACUAAAACAUAUAAAAAAUAAUGAACAAGUUUGCUGAUACCCUUUUUUUUACAGGUAGCAAUACAGUCUUAAGACCAAAAUACAGAAAUGGUUGUGAGUAGAACUUACCAUUUUAAUUUCUUUUUUUUUUUUUGACUUUUAUUUCAAGUUCAGAGGCACAUGUGCAGGUUUGUUAUACAAGCAAACUCGUGUCAUGGGGGUUUAUUGUACUGACUAUUUCAUUAUCCAGGUAUUAAGCCUAGUACCUAUUAGUUAUUUUUUCUGAUCCUCUCCCUCCUCCCACCCUCCACCCUACUGGUAGGCCCUAGUAUUUGUUGUUCCCCUCUAUGCAUCCAUGUGUUCUCAUAAUUUAGCUUCCACUUACAAGUGAGAACGUGUGAUAUUUGAUUUUCUGUUCAUCUGUUAGUUUGCUAAGGAUAAUAGUCUCCAGCUCCAUCCAUGUUCCCGCAAAGGACAUGAUCUCAUCCUUUUUUAUGGCUGUAUGGUAUUCCAUGGUGUAUACAUACCAC
rnacentral:lncRNA from 1 species